UACAUGCAAGUCGAGCGAACCAAUAAGAAGCUUGCUUUUUGUUGGUUAGCGGCGGACGGGUGAGUAACACGUGGGUAACCUGCCUGUAAGAUCGGGAUAACUCCGGGAAACCGGUGCUAAUACCGGAUAGAUUGUCUUUCCGCUUGGAGAGAUAAGGAAAGAUGGCUAUUGCCAUCACUUACAGAUGGGCCCGCGGCGCAUUAGCUAGUUGGUGAGGUAACGGCUCACCAAGGCGACGAUGCGUAGCCGACCUGAGAGGGUGAUCGGCCACACUGGGACUGAGACACGGCCCAGACUCCUACGGGAGGCAGCAGUAGGGAAUCUUCCGCAAUGGACGAAAGUCUGACGGAGCAACGCCGCGUGAGUGAAGAAGGUCUUCGGAUCGUAAAGCUCUGUUGUUAGGGAAGAACAAGUAUCGGAGGAAAUGCCGGUACCUUGACGGUACCUGACGAGAAAGCCACGGCUAACUACGUGCCAGCAGCCGCGGUAAUACGUAGGUGGCAAGCGUUGUCCGGAAUCAUUGGGCGUAAGCGC
rnacentral:rRNA from 1 species